CCGCACCUCCUNNNNNNNNNNNNNNNCCCCCCCCCCACUCCCCGCACACACGCACACACCCGCACACACCCACACACACACACACACACACACACACACACAAACAGUGAGGGGGGAGGGUGAGAAAGAGGGAGGAGAGGGGGAGAGAGGAGAGAGGGGAGGGGGGGAGAGAGAGAGAGAGAGAGAGAGAGAGAGAGAGAGAGAGANNNNNNNNNNNNNNNNNNNNNNNNNNNNGGCUCCCUCCCUCCCUCGCACACAGCGACUGGAGACGGACGGGGAGCAACGCGCUGGGAAGAGCAGAGACCACCGACAACAGCCCCGCGCUCUCCCACACUCGCUCACACUCGGCGCUUUCCUCUCCCCCCACCUCCUCCUCCUUCCACCCCCUCCACUAACACCAUCUCCUCCUCCUCCUCCUCUCUGCAACAAGAAAAAAAAGCCAUUUACAGGGUGAUGUGCAACUAAUUAAAGGCAGACUGGCACCGUCUGCAAAUUCUAAGGCUCCCCAAAUAAAAAGAGACUGGUAAGUGAUUGUUCUUUCUCUUUCUCUGGCUUUUCUCUCUUUCUCUCUCUCUUAAAUGUUUGCUGUCCUGUGGGAUUGUAAAAGUAGAUUAUUAAUGCUGGACUCUGGCAAUAAAAACCGUGGCCGUAUUAAUUUAUUAAUUAAUCUGCACCCGCCCCUCCUCCUGAAUGUUAAAUAUGACCUUUGAUCUCUGUGUCUCUGGUAGACCAGACAUACAAUAUUAGGAAUGCACAUUCACAUUGUUUAAGGCAAAGCGGGAUCAUGAAGUAUGGAUAUCUAAUUUAGCUUUGGCAUAGAACUAUAGUUAUUGCUGUGUGCUUUAUUUUGUUGCUAAAUAAAAUCCGAACAAUAGCAGUGGCUUAGGUGCCUUUUCCAUGCUCCAGAGAUGCAUUGAUUAAACAAUAAUGACCUGGACCCUGGGCACAAUCAUUUCCUACAGUUUCUGUUGGCAUUAAACCUUGAGGUGGGAAAGAGGAGGUGAUGGCAGUCAGAGAAGCAAGGACAGCCAGUUUGGAAACACCACUCUUAGAGUCUCAAAAGGAACAUAAAAUUCUUUCUUUAUUUGGAACAAGGUCAGAAGACUGAAAUGUUGAAAAUCUUCCCUCCACUCAGUUUGAUGAUUACCUAUU
rnacentral:lncRNA from 1 species